CCGGUGGGGAAGGACCCUCUGGAAGGAGGGAGGAACCCAGUUGCUCCCUGCACUUUCUCAGACCCACCUACGUGCACUCAGGGCAGAAUUCCAAACCCAAUAAAGAGCUUCACGACGCCGAAAAAAGAAAAACACUCCUGGGCUCCUCCUCAUGUCUGGAUCUGACCACCUUGCUCGGUAGCCACCCCACCCAGAGGUGGGUGGGGAAGAGGACCCGGGGGCCGGUUCCGGGGACACGGGUUCGAUCCCUGGCCCAGGAAGAUCCCACAUGCUGCAGAGCAACUAAGCCCAU